GCUUUGCAUUUUCUGCAGCUGUACCUCCCGCGAUUUGUCCUUUACGUUUUGCAACCUCUCUAUCAUUGCUUCCAAAAACGGAAUAUACUUUUGCAUUUCAGCGAACUUCUUGUCGUACUCGUCCAUCUUGUUUUUUGUGUGUCGUUCACCUGUGUCAGGAAAAGAAAAUCUUUAUAUCUUUUCAAUACCGAUCUUUACAUCGUUACACGUCCAAUUACUCGCUGAAUAUGUAUCAGCGAAUGGCUCGUUUAUUUCUACACAUAUUCAUUAAAUCAACAUUCACGGAAAAAUGCAAAGCAACCUUCAUGGCGCACAAAUUUAUUGUUACGAUCUCAAACAAAAUGGCAGCCAGUAAGAACCAACGGACAAAGCAAUAUUGAGACUUCUGGUUAAAAUUCACAUGAUCACAAAUGAACAAAAAUCAAAUCUGUCUGUACAACAAACUUAAUACAUCCAUCACAGUUUGCGGAAAGCUGUACAAACUUAUUUGGACCACCUAUUCACAUUAAUGCCCUUGUCGCGAUCGAAUAAUGAUAUUAUGAAAUGAAUUCGCAUGUAUUGCCAUUCGACUCUUUUUAUCGACAACAAUAAGGUAAAGGUGACCUUGAAAUCACGGUCAACACUGUUCGAAUAAAAUUUCUUGAAACUCCAAA